UGCAGAAGGAAUACAAGGAAUUAGUGCCAUGAAUAUUCAAUUAAGAGCCUGUGUACAGAGCCUGCUCUCAAGGAAUCCUCUCCUGUGGCCUCGGGGCAGACAUGAGUGAGGUUCUAGUUCACAUGCUGAUUAUAGGGUUGUAGAGUAGAGUACUAAUUCAAAGCUCAACCCAACCAGGUCUCGCUGAGUUUUACAGGCCAGCCGGGACGACUGAUGACAAGUCUCCUCCAAGCCAAACCCAGCAGUGCAGUGUCCCAAUUACCACUAAAUUGAGCAGCUUAAAACAAUAAACAUUUUUUCCUCAUUGUUUCUGUGCAUUGGGAAUCCCAGAGCAGCUUGGCUGGAAGGCUAUGGCUGGAGGCUGCCCUGGAGAUGCUGGCUGGAACUACAGUCAUCUGAAGGCGUGAAUGGGGCGGAUGAUCCACUCCCGCGCUCACUAGAGGCAGUUGGCAGGCACUUCAGUUCCUUGCUGGCUGUUUGCUGGAGGCCUCAGCUCCUUGGCACAUGGGUCUCUCCAUAGGGCUGCUUAUGUAUCUUCACGAUAUGGCAGCUGGCUUCCCCCAGAAUAAAGGAUCCAAGAGAGAGCAGGAAACAAUCAGUCAUGCCUCUUAUGACGCAGCCUUGGAAGUCACACAUCAUCACUUCUGCUGCAUUCUGUUCAGCAGAAGAGAGUCAUGAAGUCCAACUCACGUUCAAGAGGAGUGGGAUUGACCUUCACCUCUGGAAGGGAAGAGUGUUAAAGAAUUCAUGGGUGUAUUUUAAAAGUA